CCUAUUUCAAUCAUUUGGCAAAUUUUAAUUGACACAUUUUUUUCUGCAAUUUUUUAGAUAAUUUCAAUAUUAAUUGAUUUGAAGCUGAAUAAAUCUGGUAACAACAUAUUGAAGAAAAUAAAGAAGAGUUAUGUAUGUGAGUUCUAUUGUAGUGUUGUAAAACUAGAACAUAAACGAUUGAUUUAUGUUUAUUUCUAAGAUAUUAUGUCCGGUAACAAGAUUGAAGCCCACGUUGAAGCUCUGAUUUCCCCACACACUAACCAUAAAGAUAGCUAGCUAGCUACACAGAUAUUUUAUAAAAAUUCAAGCAAUCUUGUGUUGAUUAUCAAGACAAAGGGUGUAAUUUUUCCUGCUGUCCAUCCAAUUACUAUGAAAAACCAAGUAAAUCUCACUAAAUAAUUCAAAAUCC